rfam:Eubacterium ruminantium strain ATCC 17233 genome assembly, contig: EI46DRAFT_scaffold00005.5
GGGCCUGUAUUGGCUUCGACAGGGAUCUAGAAAUUAUGACAGCCAUCCGUGGUCCGGGACCACGUUAAAACUCGGAAAAAAAUAAACGCUGAAGAUAAUUUAGCAAUCGCUGCCUAAUGGCAGCUGUCAGCCACAAGUAAUCCGCUGCUUGUGAGUCUGGCACCGAUGAGGCGGAGCACUUUCCUUCCAAAGCUUUGAGGAUGGGAAAGAACCUAUGAAGCUACUGAAUCUGUAAAUCUGACUGUGGAUGUGCAGAGGAGGGAAUGUCAAAACACAUGUCUGUGAUGGGAGAGGUUAUAAUGGAAGGGUUUUUGGACACGGGUUCGACCCCCGUCAGGUCCACUA